rnacentral:rRNA from 1 species
GACGAACGCUGGCGGCGUGCUUAACACAUGCAAGUCGAACGGAAGGGCCCUGCUUUUGUGGGGUGCUCGAGUGGCGAACGGGUGAGUAACACGUGAGUAACCUGCCCUUGACUUUGGGAUAACUUCAGGAAAUUGGGGCUAAUACCGGAUAGGAGCUCCUGCUGCAUGGUGGGGGUUGGAAAGUUUUGGCGGUUGGGGAUGGACUCGUGGUUUAUCAGCUUGUUGGCGGGGUAGUGGCUUACCAAGGCUUUGACGGGUAGACGGCCUGAGAGGGUGACCGGCCACAUUGGGACUGAGAUACGGCCCAGACUCCUACGGGAGGCAGCAGUGGAGAAUGUUGCACAAUGGGCGGAAGCCUGAUGCAGCAACGCCGCGUGGGGGAUGACGGCCUUCGGGUUGGAAAGCGCUUUCGCCUGUGACGAAGCGUGAGUGACGGUAAUGGGUAAAGAAGCACCGGCUAACUACGUG